CCCAUCUGAUGAGCCAGCAGGCUAGAGCAAUGACCCAUGACACUCUGGCCCUCUUAUCUAGAGAUGGAGUUAUUGGAAAUCCAGCCGGGUCCUCGUGAAGAAAGGCAAAGAAGGGAGGAAAAAAACUCCUGAAAAACAGCUACCAGUGGAUUUGAUGGAAAGGGAUUCCCCUUCCAAACGGUGACUUUCUCCACACCUCCUCUCCACACCCGCAUCCACGGAUCCAGAUCCUCGUCCAUCUCAAGAGAAUACCAUGGUGUGGGAUUCCCCAUUGUAAACAUCCAAAGCUCCGGUGACGGCUACUGAGCUGCCUUCAAC